rnacentral:tRNA from 1 species
GGUUCUGUAGUGUAGUGGUUAUCACGCCUCCCUGUCACGGAGGAGAUCACGAGUUCGAUUCUCGUCAGAACCGCCA